GCAUAUCAAUAAGCGGAGGAAAAGAAACCAACAGGGAUUGCCUUUAGUAGCGGCGAAGUGAAGCGGCAAAAGCUCAAUUUUGAAAUCUGGUACCUUCGGUGCCCGAGUUGUAAUCUGAUCGAAGCAUUCUUGAGGUUGGCCCUUGUCUAUGUUCCUUGGAACAGGACGUCACAGAGGGUGAGAAUCCCGUGCGAUGGGGUGUCCAACCUUAUGUAAGAUGUUUUUGAAGAGUCGAGUUGUUUGGGAAUGCAGCUCUAAGUGGGUGGUAAAUUCCAUCUAAAGCUAAAUAUUGGCGAGAGACCGAUAGCGAACAAGUACUGUGAAGGAAAGAUGAAAAGAACUUUGAAAAGAGAGUGAAAAAGUACGUGAAAUUGUUGAAAGGGAAGGGUAUUUGAUCAGACUGGUAUUUAGUUAUCUUUGCUCCUUGUGGGUGAGGCUCUAACUUUUUACUGGGCCAGCAUCAGUUUUGAUGGUGAGAUAAUCGCAGUUGAAUGUGGCUCUUCGGAGUGUUAUAGCUUCUGUUGAUAUCACCUAUCGGGACUGAGGUCUGCGGUUUAUCCUAGGAUGCUGGCGUAAUGAUCUAAUACCGCCCGUCUUGAAACAUGGACCAAGGAGUCUAACGUCUAUGCGAGUGUUAGGGUGUAAAACCCUUACGCGUAAUGAAAGUGAACGUAGGUGAGGGCCUUUCGGGGUGCAUCAUCGACCGAUCCUGAUGUCUUCGGAUGGAUUUGAGUAAGAGCAUAGCUGUUGGGACCCGAAAGAUGGUGAACUAUGCCUGAAUAGGGUGAAGCCAGAGGAAACGUCUGGUGGAGGCUCGUAGCGGUUACUGACGUGCAAAUCGAUACGUCGAAUUUGGGUAAUAAGGGGCGAAAGACUAAUCGAACCAUCUAGUAGCUGGUUCCUGCCG
rnacentral:rRNA from 1 species